UCGCUUUUUUUUUUUGCUUUAAAUAGUUCCUUAGGGUCUCAGAAAUAACAUAUUGCAGGAUUAUGGCUCGGAAAAAUCUCUAAAUAAUUUAUUUUCGAAGUUCCUUGCAAGGCUGCACGGUACGCGGCGAGCUCAUUUUGUCAGUUCUACGGGGGGUGAUCUUUGAAGGAUCUACAGCAGGUAUACGGCAGAUGUUUUCAAAGGCGCUAGUUACUUGCUAGACUAUAGUGGUCAAUUAUAUGGUGCAGGCAUUGCAGAUUAAAGGAGCAGUUAGUUCGGCCACGUACCCCUUGAACCAUAGAGGAGUCGAAGGACGACCGCUACAGCGCCACCAUUCUUCAAGAAAUAUUUAUAAGAAAUUAUUUUUUUACACCUAAAAAGAUGUAUAAUAAACUUCUUAUAUUAUAUUUUUAA